CUUGCACAGGUGCUGCAUGGCUGUCGUCAGCUCGUGUCGUGAGAUGUUCGGUUAAGUCCGCUAACGAGCGCAACCCUCACUGUGUGUUAUAUGUGUCACACGGGACUGCCGGUCUUAAGCCGGAGGAAGGUGGGGAUGAUGUCAAGUCAGCAUGGCCUUUAUAUCCUGGGCUACACACACGCUACAAUGGCCAACAACAAUAGGUUGCUAAGCCGCGAGGUGGCGCCAAUCCAUAAAAGUUGGUCUCAGUUCAGAUUGUAGGCUGCAACCCGCCUGCCAUGAAGAUGGAGUUGCUAGUAACCGCAGGUCAGCUAUACUGCGGUGAAUACGUUCCCGGGGCUU
rnacentral:rRNA from 1 species